CAGCAUUUGUAGACCCCAGUUGGGUCUCAGUUUGCUCUUUGAGAAGUUGGCCUAAGAUCCCUUUCUACCUGACAGAGUAGGCCUAUGAGCUGUGGGGUUUGGAUGCCCUCAGGCCUUGGUGCUGUGAUGUGUGUGCAUUUACACAAGGUGGCAGGGCAUCCAGCUGCAGCAUGCCAAGUGCUCCAAGUGCUCCAUUUAGAAUUCAGGGUCUCAGCACUGGAGCUCCCACUGCAUUUCCUACCUGUGGCAUCGGGUAGGUAUCCAAAGUCCUUCCCCAACAGUCCUUCUCCACAGCUUUUAAAGUUCUGAGAAGAGAACGGAAGUCAGCAGGACAGUCAGAAAUGCCAGCAGAGACCUGAGCUUAAGAGCCCAGUCCUGUGGGAGGAGCUUCCAUGUGCCAGGUGUGCCUGGAAGAACAGAGUGUGCUAUAUACCAGGGUCCCAAGACCAUUGUAGGAUACAAAACAAAAGAAAGCAAUCCUCCCACAAACAAAAAACCGCACACACACAAACAUACAAGGAUUCAGUGUGGAACAGAAGUCAUGAUGAUGAUUUACUUUGCAAAGGUAACCCAAGAAUGUCCCAAAAGUGGAAAGGCAGGUGGUGCAAAGUUAGGGGUACCAGGUGCAAGAAUCACUCGGGGUACACCCAGCUCUUCAAGGACUGAAGGUGCCUUUUCCUAGCCAACCCGCCUAAGUUUCUCAAGUGGAAGGUUAUGGUUCAAAAUGAGCCCCUGGUUUACUAGGCACCCUGGUCUACAGUGGCUGCCGCAGGAGCACAGCUCACUAUGUAACAGCUCAUGAUACACAGCUACCAGUAGUGUGCAAAGAGAGAAUGUUUACCCUUGUAGGUCCUGAUUGUCACAAGGUCCCCUACUGGUGACCAGAGUACAUCAGCUAUCAACUUUCAGCUUUCCUGGGCCACUGUAGUCAUUGCUGUUGUGUGGGCACAUGGGCUAGGGCCCGAGAAAGGGAUAAGGUUGUGGGUAGAUAGGACUUGCACUCCUCCUGCACAGGAAGGACCUUUAAGCCAAACAGUGGGGUUAUUCCAGUGGUCCAGGAAAAUGACCUGAGCUUCACACUCUCAAAAUGUCAACAAAUUGACCUGUGCAUUUUACAUAAUCCUUAUACAAGGCAUUUUUAUUUUUAAAUGUUACUGGCUUGGCUGAGAUUUCCUGUUUCCAGCUGACAACAUUAAGUCUCUUAUAGUCCUGGGGUUUAAUGGACUGAUAAUAGGGUUCACACAUGAAUCUUGCUUGUGCAUGCAAUGUCUCUUCCUUAACUUGACCCAGAUUGUGAUCAUGUUCUCCUUUUGAGGAAAUUCAACACAGGUCAUUAUCGAGAAGCCCCCUGCUUACUUGGAGUCUCUAAGGACUAGGCAGCUCCUGUGAUGUGGCGGCAGUGAGGACGUCCCUCUCCCUUCCAGUAUACCACAUCUGCCACGACACAAGGUCUCUCUGAGCUGACAGUCUUGAGACAAUUGGUGACUGUCCUUCAGAGCUGAGCACAUGUCUGACAACUUUGGGUAACUCAGCUACAACCUGAAGACUCAGUUUCUUGGGGCUCAUGCUGUGAAGGACCCAGGCUAGUGUGAGGUGAGCCUGUGGAAGGCAAGGGGAGUCCCACAGGCUUUCAUGUGAGUGAACAGAUCUUUGUGUUUCAGUCCAGGUGUCUGCUGAGCAUAGCUGGGUCAGUGCCCUUGGCUGAUUCGAAUAGAGAAGAACCUUCUGCUGGGUGUAUGACACCCCCAUCCUCACUUCCAAGUCAUAGAAUUAGUAGCUCCUGGCUUAAAGCAGCCAGUUUGUGACAGUUUGUUAUACAGAAAUAGGGAACUAAAGUGAGGGCCUAUUGCCUGUCAGGUACUGUGAGG
rnacentral:lncRNA from 1 species